GGGGCGCCGGCCUCUGCAGCUAUUCAGCGGGGGUGUCGCCUCCCAGCAAUCCGUGAGACCUUCCCUCCAUGAGCCUUGCGAGGAGAAUCCUGGAGAAAAUACAAUCCGGCCGAUGCAAACUGGAGGGUUCCCUGAGGAUCAAAACUGCAGGAUAAAGACAACUCAAGCACACAGAAGGUGGUGAAUGUGGAGACCUCUCCCCUUCCAUAGCUUUGAGGUACUGCUGUUACCUCCAUACUUUUCAUGUAAAAAGCAGAUCAACAAGAAUCCUGGUUCUUUGAGAAGUAGAGAAGCAAGUUUAGCAUGGGGGUUAAGUCACCUAACUUGACCAUCUUUCUCUAUACAGAAUAGAAAUACUACUUGGACACUUGGAACUCUAUUCCCUUUGAAGUCACAAAGUCAGCCAAUGUGACUUAAAGGAGGCAGCCACUGUGACUUAAUUUUCUUUCAAGUUUCUCUCAGGGCGGUUCAAAUUUCAGAAAAUGCCCGGGCCUGCAGGGCAGUCAGUGGAGGUUGGGGACCACCUAGGAAAGAAUGGGGGAUAACAGACUCAAAGAAGAAUACCAAGAGUCUGAUCAAGGCGACAAAUUUUAUUUUUUCCCAAGGCUGAAUUUAUACCAUAGCAGGGGUAACAGAGGGAGGGGAAAAGUGGGAAACAUCUAUGCAGGCCAAGGACACAGUGCUCUUGUGGUCAGCUGAUGUCAACAGGAUGUUGGUUUCUCAGAAAGGUCACAGGGUAAAUGUUUGUUAGAGUUGAUGAAGCUCCUGCACCUGAUAAACAUCUGGAUAGGCUUUGCUCCGGCUCCCUGGAACUCUAUCUGCAGGACGCAAUGACUAGAGCAGUAUACAAUAAGGACUUGGACAAACAUCACAAGGGUUAUGGUCUCUAAACACUGAUGAAAUUAACUAAGAGGAAGAAUAUUCAUCCAAAAAAUGCUGUGGCUGUUGGUCAGCGGGCACUCCUGAGAAAGCAACUCAUUCUUCAAGAUGCUGUCUUCCUGGAAUGUGUCCAAUUCCAGCUCUCUUGCAGCUUCUGAGACCUGGGAGAGGAAGGCAGGUAUUUAGACACUGAUUUGGUGGGGACAUGCAUGCCAGCUGUCAGAUUGCUGACUCCUACAACCUCAGGUGUAUUGGACAGUCAACAUUGACCUUUAGCUCAAAUCAUGGCUGCUAACACUAGAGGCAGGGGAAGAUAUCCACCAACCCUCACAGAAACAUGGGCUGACAAGCUGCUACUCAGACUUCCUCCGGUGCUAAUGAAAGAACAGGGCAAGGGGAAAAUACCUCAUUGGGUUGCAGGAAGAAAGAAGAAGGCCACAUGCCACCCAGGCCAAAGACACAAACAAGUACACAGUUGACAUUUGCUCUUGGUUCUUACCCCUGGAUGGUGCUUCCAACUUAGGAGGACAUAUGGUACCUGCAUUACCUUUGUCCCAGGCCCUAGAACUUGUUCAAAGCUCUGCAUUGCAUCCAGUCUAUCGAAAGGGCAUGCAGUAAUGGAACGUGUUAUUCAUCUUUCACCAUUACUGGACUGCAGUUCAAAAAGAGUAGCAAGGGAUACUUGCCAAGUAUUCAGUGUCUCACAGGUAAUAUCCCAGAACAUAUGUGCAUAGACAGAGCAAUGAGAAACUACAUCACAUGAGGUGGUUGGCUGGUUGGGAGUGUAAAUUAGAAAGGUGGUAAGGGAAAGCAAAUAUGUAUCACACUGGCCAAUGGUAUCAGACAAUGUUAAUAUGACUCCACUGCUUGCCCCUCCGGAAUUUGUUGGGUCUGGAGGUUGCUGGUCUUCUCCUGUUUGUCGUUAUUUUCAAGGUUCAAGUCCAGCAGGUAUUUCUGUAGAACUGCACAAUCAAGCUGUAUCACAUUGCUCUCCUGCUUCAAUGUGACCAACUUCUUCUUCAAGAGACUCUUCUCCAUCUGGAUUCGGCUGUGCAGGUUGCUGGAAACACACUCUGCAUGGUAAGAUCCUGUAGUUUCUUCCAACCAUUCCAACUACCAAGACUCACUAAUGUCACCAGGACCCAGAUACUCAUAAAGACUAUAUAGAAUACAUAUAGCUACAUAUAAGGCUGCUGCACAAAUAGCAAAUAGCCAAUUCGGGGAAGAAUAUGUUGUUCCUGCAGCUCAAACUCCAAUAAGGGUAUAUGUCUCUUCAAGAGAAUAAGGAUCUACAUCUAUCCAUGAUAUACCAAUGCAUGGGGCAACGUCUAUUAGUAGUGGGCAAAUACCCUCAAUGUAGGUCAGUAGAACCAAGGGGAGGUCAUGCUAACCAUGUGGUCCAUCACAAUCUGGUCUGUAAAACCAGACCUGAGCCCAGGGGUCCAUGUCAACCUAAUAACCCCCUCGUGACCUGUAUCACCACUGUUUUAUGUAAAGCUUUCUGAAGUUGCCUAGACAAUGCUGGGAUGAGGAAGAAUCUAUUAUGCAACUGUCAACUGAGGCCAAAAGUCCCAAAACACAGUGAUGAUUGAACAGGAGAAGAGAUGCAACAGAGCUGCAGACUGUCCAAUCCAGAACAAAAAAGACAGAAGUGGCCAUUCCACAACUGAUGUCCUCCUUUCUGACCAGUACUUACCAAUAGAAGUUAAUUUCCUUCUUGAGCUCCUGGAAACUUGGAGGGAUCUCAGUGUUCUCCAACUGUAAGUUGUGUAGUAAUGACAUGACCUCCUUCUCCUUUAUCUUCAAAUUUUCAUAAAAUGGGUUUGGCCUAAAGUGGGGCCUGGACACAGGAAGAUAAAUCUCAAUGAACAGGGGCUCUUAGGAAUCCAUGAACAUAGCAUGGGCACUGUACUAUCUCAGCCCUGGAAGGAAACUUUCUGAAUUCAACAGAAUGAGAUCUUCUUCAGCUUUGGAAACUUGUUAUUCUGGGCCCAGGACACCAGAAGCUGGGAAUCCAGAUGGUGGUUGCCCUGGAUCCCUUUGUUCACUCAGGAGGGCUGGAUGGGCAGUCAAACACGGUAUGCUCUCAUGAGCAUAAGCCACAGCUCUUUGUCCUCCAGAAACCUGGGCUUUCAUGUUUCCUAUUUUUAAAACAGGAAUUCUACAUCCUGAAUAAUUAACACUGUAGAGACAGACAUUAUACAUAAUUCUGGAAAUGGACCAGAUAUCACCACAGCUUUAUCAUCUGCCAGAGCUUUACCAGUGUACAGUCAAAUGUGGCCAUAAAGGAAAAGAACUGUGCUGUUUAAAGAGGAGUUCCCAGGAGUACUGGAACUAGGCACUCAGCACUUAAACGUACAGUCAGCUGUCAAUGACUGUUUUAAGCCAGCUGUUGUAAAAAGCCAUCACUGUGUCAAGAGCUCCAUGGGGUCCAUGGUAGGAGGAGUAUGCUUCACUGUUUCCAAUUGAUGAUCUUUCCAAGGCUGAACUCAAGAGCCAGAUGACAGAAAGAAAGGCUGCUUUCAGUGCAUGAUACAGCCAAUGCCUCAGGAACUCACACUGCUGUGGUUGUGGGCACAAAACUAGGGCUGUCAAUAACCAGUUAUGGAUAUGGAAAGGCCUCAAGUGGUUAUACCCCUUCCUAAGGAAUUGUAGGCUGUUCCUGGCUGUUAGGGGAGGAACACUGUCUUCAAUUGUGAGCCCGCCAGCCUUCAGUGCAUAGCUAAACAUUCAUGGUCAUCCAGAGAGCCCUGGUUAAACUCAAUGCUUCACAAAUAAAAACAAAAAAUUUGGAAGCAGGAAAGGGAUUUGUAGAGAGAUUUGGGGAGGUGUCAGCAUGUCUGGGGAAAAUAAGGAAAGGUAAAGAAAAUCAGGGAUCAUUAUAUGCAUUGUGAAAUUGUCAAAGGAUACAUUUUAUUAUUUAAAAAAGUAACCACUACAUUUGUAUAUCCCAAAACAAGAAGAAAACCUAAAGUAAGCAGAGUACAAAAAUAUAGUAUACAUAAUAAAAAAUCAAAAUAUUUAUAUCAGUAUGGAAAACAUAAGUACUUUACUGGAAACAGUUGGGAAAUGGCAGUAUAAUUCCCUCAUGAAAUAUUUGACCAAUAGUCACAAGAUUGAUGAUAAUUACCUAAUGAAGCUUUUUCAAAGAAAUGAAAUUAUCUUGCAAUACAUUGUCACCAGUAAGAUUAGCAAAGAUUAUGAAUCCUUGAUAAGGAUUCAUGACCUAUAAACUCUGGUCAAAAACUGAAAUCAAAAUGUCCUUUUCUAAGGAUCUUUGAGCAAUGUGCAUGAGAUUACUUAUAAAAAGUUUUUUUGUAAACAAGGAAAUCCACCUCUAGCAUUUCUGAGGAAUAUUCAAAACCUUCGAGGACCUCACUGCAGGAUUAAGUCACCAAUUGAAAGUAUUUUUCUAUUUAGGGAAAACAGAAAAUUUGAUCUUAGUGUGAUUGCAUUUAGUCUGACAGUCCAUUUAGGUACGCUGGAUAGCUUUUGACACUGAAGAGAAAGGGGCUGACUGCGUAGGCUAGCUGUGACCUAACGGAGUGGAGAGGUUAUAAAACACUAUUCUGUAGGACAAGCACUCCUAAAAUAAGAUAGCACACACCCAAGAAUCCUAAUAAGACAUUUUAAAGUAUAUUAAAUCCUAUUUGCAUGGAAAUUCUUAUCUUUCCUUCCCCUAAAAGUAUUCUAAGAGUUGUGACAAAAGUCACACAGAGAGAAGGGGGACAUGAACCCACAGCCCAGCCACUGGAAGAGCCGAGGGUAAAAAUAACCACGGACAGAGGCUCUGAUGCGUUGUGUUGCUGACUGCUUCUUUGCUGUUCUGUGGGGAUUCACCAAGCAGAAGGCUUUAUCAAUGUGAGAUUAUACUGGAGGUGUGAGGAGAUGUCUGGGCAGUAGAGCCAGCCCCCUAGAUUCAGGUGGAAACCCGUGAGGAUUCAGCAUGUUCUCACACAGGAGCGAGGGGGUUAAGAAGCUGAUAGAAGCGUGAGUUGAAAUGCAGAAAGUCUAUGAUGAAGGCCAGCAGCAUACGAUGGGAAGAGACCUGUACCGUGUCUGCUGCGGGAUGAAUGACCUAGUCCCAGUGUAGCAUUUAGUUGUUUAAGAAAACAAAAAACAAAACAAACAAACAAAAAAAUGCGCUAAAUCUGGUUAUGCUUCGGCAUCGGUGAUCUCUGUCUGUUCCUAGCCAGGUGCAAUGGACUAAGACCAUCACAGCAGUCCACAUGUUUGUCCUAGCCAACGCCCUACACUGGCUCUGUCUCUCCAGAGCUCCCAAAUCUCUUUUUGCCAGCCCACCAUCUCACGUUCUCGCCAUCCCACACUCCACUGUGGUUAACUCUCCCCUGGAAGUCAGUUCUUUUCCCAAUCUUCCUGUUCCAAAGCAUGGCCAAAUUCCACCCUGGCUAUGUUCUUUCCAUCCUGCCCACCUGAGCCACAACGAAUGGAAAACACCAGACAAUUUUAGUUUAAAAUCAACAGAUGGUACAACCGCUGGGUGUGGAAGCGCUUGUCCUAAACUCAUCAACUAUUCUCUGUAGGAAAUUCUUCCGGUGGUGAGAGCUGCCAGUGAGUCACAAAAUUCGCCAGCCUACGUCAUGCACCGCUGUGGCUCUCCACCUCCCCGCAAAGAAGGGCUGUACCUUCCUCCCAUGUCCGCUCUUCCUCUCUUGUAUCCAGAAAGCCUGCCUCCUCCACUUUGCCUAGCGAUGGCCUUCUUGUCGUCUUUAUUAGCCAAUCAAAUGAUUAGGGGGAAUUCCCUUACAGCCCAGGAACUAGGUAGAAAGUAUAAUAAAUCCUAGUCCUGGCCUUCACAGGAAAGCCAGAGCUUCUUUCCAUUCGAUGCUCAAGAAAAGCCUCAACCAAAGGUCAGCGAGGGCGAUAUAACACAGACCUGCCACUCAGAGGUCAGCGAGGGCAGUGUAACACAGACCUGCCACUCAAACUGGGAACUAAGAAGAAAGACACAUGCAGGUGUUUGCAGAGCCAUAGAGUUCAUGGGGAGUGAAGGGAGAUUUUCUGCAACAUACCCCACUGAGAACAGAACGUGUAAUUCUGUGACUGUUCUGCAUAUUGUUAUCCAGCAUCCGAUAGCAUGGAGUAUCUUGCUUCAGAAAAGUGCAGGUAGACUAACAGCCUAAUAGGGAGACUUGUGCAGCCACCAUCUGCCAUGUAAAUGUUUUCUGCUCUGAUGUAAAGGUAUCCUGGGACUUGGAAGCCCAGGAACCACACAGCUCUGAGAGGAAGCCUCCUCAGCAGAGGCAUUGCAGCUCCCUCCUAGCUGAGCUGAGGAGCUCAGGAUCCUCAUCCCUGCUCCAAUUGUCUUCUCUUCAUUGCUUCUUGACUUCUUCCAAUGAGAGAGUCACAGCAGGCAGCGAAUCUCAUUAAAAAGAUUGAUUGGAGGGUCCAGGGUGUGGAGGGUUGAAUCUAGGGAUGACUGCUUCUGCUCCGGAAGUGGGCGGCAGGGAAUUGGACAAGGGACAAUUGGACAAAGGGCAAAGAUUUCUUAGGGGGCAGAGCUCCUCAGGGCAGAGAUUUCCAGAUUAAGGGUUGAUGGGAAUUCGAGUCCUUAGCUUGGGGGAGCAGAGGAGACUCAGGAAUUGGCAGGUUUUCCUGCUCAGGGAGUGGCGGGUGUUGUGGGAAACUCAAGGAUGGUGGGUUUUGUGGGAAGGUCAGAUUGGUGGACUUUCCUGACCAGGGAUUGGUGGAUUUUUUUACCCAUCUUCCCUGCAUUGGACCAAUUGUGAUAUGCAUACGGGCGACACAUAAGUGUGACAGCAUCUAUGUGGAGGUCUCAGAACAACUCUGGGGAGACAGUUAUUUCCUUCCACAGUGGAUCUGGAAUUAUACUCAGAAUGUUAGUUGUGUGCAACAAGCAUUUCUUUCUCCCUGCCCAACCUUCCCCUUAGCUCAAAGAGACAUUUUAUUAAUGUUUUGUUCAGUUACAUAUAAACAAAUUUUAUUAUUGUUGUUAAGUUUUUAAUUUAAUUAUUUCAACAUAUCAUUAGCAUACAAAUAAUGUUCUCAUACUAUAGCUUUAAAAUAUAUUCUGUGCUUUAUAUUUACAGUAGAUCUCAAUGGAAGCGAUACUUUUUUAUGGUAAAAGUAAAAUGUUCUAUUAAACCUGUAAAUUUCUUUGGGGCAGAAAAAAUAUAACAUACUGCACCAUUUUCACUUAAAAUGAUUGAAAGCUUGAAAUCAUUACAAUUUCAAAUCCUCGGUUGCAUAGCCACAUCUCAAGUACUCAGAAGACACCAGUGGCACAUGUCUACCCUCUUAGAUGGCACGAGUCCUGUCUGACCUGUACCGCAGGCACAGUUCAUGCUUGCUGGAGUGCGAUUGCACAGCCUGCCUGAGCUCCACACGUGAUGCCGCUGCGUUCACAACUUUGCUCUGAAUUAUUAGUAUACAAUUCAGUGGGCAGGAGACUCGAGGAAAGAUUGGGGUGAAAGAACUUGAGACCAAGCCAUAAGAAAAACUGAGAUGCCCUUCUCAAAACCUGACUCUGAGAAGGCAGACUUACCAAGGCCACGGCAGCUCUGGAAGUUUUCUCCUGUGAUGAUCGGCAUCACCUGCAGAAUUGCCCGUCACUACUUUUCCCACACAACUGCUGGUCAUAAACCUGUCCCAUCUCUUCUGAAGUUCGACAAGCACCAGCGUCCUGUGCUGUGGACGUUCCUGCCUGAGUCUUGACUCUCAGCUUGUUGGGAGGCACCCCCAUCCGUGUUGUCAUGGCUACUCUGAAGCCUGAACUUCAGCUUGAACCCACGCUGCCCGUACUUCACCCUCCCACCUUUACCUAUGAGCCUCUGCCUCUGAGCUUCCAGUGUUUGUCUCUGAACUUUUGGUGCCCAGACCAGGCUGCUCCUUGACUCCAAACCCCGCCUGUGUUGGUGCUCGCCUGGAUGUCUCGGCACGUGGAGCAUGCACCUCCUGAUUUUGUUUCUAACGACCUCCAUCUCCUGGUACCUACCUGUUACUGCCUUAGUUCACAGUAACUUCUGAAGAAAGGGGUUAUUUUAUAACUCUCAGUUCAUACUCCAUCACUGAUGUCAGGACAGGAACUCAAGGCAGGAACCUGAAGCCAAGAACUGAAGCAAAAAUCAUGGAGGAACACUUGUACAGUCUUUCUUACACGACUCAGGGCCACUUGUCCAGGAGUGGCACCACCCACGGUGGGCUGGGCCCUCACACAUCAAUCAUUAACAAAGAAAAGGCUCUUUAUACAUACCUAGAGGCCAAUCUUAUAGAAGCAUUUUCUCAAUUGAGAGUAUCUCUUCUCAAAUGAUUCCAGCACGUGUCUGCAGGAUGAUCAUCUGCCGCACAGAGGUGCCCGCCUGGAGAAUGGAGGCACAGAAUGUGUGAGGGUCUGAAUCCUGCCAGUGAUCCUGUGCAUGACUCCAGAACAUGCUCUCUAACAAUUCAGAUGAGACCUCAGCUCCUGUCCACGGCAUACAGCCCUAUAAACCCACUGCUUUAAAGCAGAGGCCUCUAGGUGAGCUGUAUACAAAUGUAUAUCUUAAGGGGACAAUUUUGGGCUGCUAAAUUCUGUAGUUAGUUUGCUGAGAAGAAAUAAAUAACUAAUGCAAUAUGGGAUCCUAUGUUUGUGUAUAGAAAACUCGCAUAAAGUGUCUUAUCAGAAAUGUAUUAGACCUGAACAUUUUAAAUGAUUAUAAGCUAUUACAAACAAAAUGUUCACAAGGCAGUUGGUGACAACAGACUUGGAGCCUCUGUGAGAAAGAAUGGUGAGUCUUCAGAAUCAAAGUGUAAAGCAGUGUAGACCCGACUGUGUCUAAGGCUUUGUCAGGGGAUAAGGGAAUGACUCACCUCUUCCCUUGCUAGGCUCAGUGGAGAGUG